rnacentral:rRNA from 1 species
UGAUGUGAAAGCCUUCGGCUUAACCGGAAUAGUGCAUUGGGAACUGGGAGACUUGGGUGCAGAAGAGGAGAGUGGAACUCCAUGUGUAGCGGUGAAAUGCGUAAAUAUAUGGAAGAACGCCAGUGGCGAAAGCGGCUCUCUGGUCUGUAACUGACGCUGAGGUUCGAAAGCGUGGGUAGCAAACAGA